rnacentral:rRNA from 1 species
UUAAAUGAAUUGACGGGGCCGCACAAGCGGUGGAGCAUGUGGUUAAUUCGACGCAACGCGAAGAACCUUACCAGGGCUUGACAUCCCCUGACCGCGUAUGAAAGUACGUUUUCACCCUCGGGUGACAGGGAGACAGGUGGUGCAUGGUUGUCGUCAGCUCGUGUCGUGAGAUGUUGGGUUAAGUCCCGCAACGAGCGCAACCCCUACGUUUAGUUGCUAACGCGUGAAGGCGAGCACUCUAGACGAACUGCCGUUGACAAAACGGAGGAAGGUGGGAUGACGUCAAAUCAUCAUGCCCCUUAUGUUCUGGGCUACACACGUGCUACAAUGGCCGGUACAGACGGACGCAAAGCCGCGAGGUGGAGCAAAUCCUAAAAAGCCGGUCUCAGUUCGGAUUGCAGGCUGCAAUUCGCCUGCAUGAAGUCGGAAUCGCUAGUAAUCGCAGGUCAGCAUACUGCGGUGAAUACGUUCCCGGGCCUU